UUGUCAAUGCAAAGAUGACAAGAGGGACUCCGGUUAAUCAACAUGGUCUCAAGAUGAUAGAUAACUUUUUGCCAAUCUUAAGCAAUGAUAUUAUCUUAAGACCAUGCUGAUUAACUGGAGCCACUCUUGUCAUCUUUGUAUUGACAA
rnacentral:miRNA from 1 species